rnacentral:rRNA from 1 species
UUUUAACUCAAGUGGCGGACGGGUGAGUAACACGUGAGAAUUUGCCUUUAGGAGGGGGAUAACAGAGUGAAAACGCUGCUAAUACCCCAUAUGCUUUCGAGUGAAAUGGAUUUAUUCGCCUAAAGAGAAGCUCGCGGCUGAUUAGCUUGUUGGUAAGGUAAUGGCUUACCAAGGCGACGAUCAGUAUCUGGUUUGAGAGGACGAUCAGACACACUGGAACUGAGACACGGUCCAGACUCCUACGGGAGGCAGCAGUGGGGAAUUUUCCGCAAUGGGCGAAAGCCUGACGGAGCAAUACCGCGUGAGGGAUGACUGCCUAUGGGUUGUAAACCUCUUUUCUCAGGGAGGAAAUCAAUGACGUUACCUGAGGAAUAAGCAUCGGCUAACUCCGUGCCAGCAGCCGCGGUAAGACGGAGGAUGCAAGUGUUAUCCGGAAUCACUGGGCGUAAAGCGUCUGUAGGUGGCUUAACAAGUCAACUGUUAAAUCUUGAAGCUCAACUUCGAAAUCGCAGUC